AGUACAGUUAAUAGAUGUAGUAGGUCAUGCAGCAAUUAAUGUAGCAAGAUCCUGGUUUGUAACCAGCAUAAUCAUUUCUCAGACAGAUGUCAUAGGGAGUGUCUGUGGUCUCUCUCCCAGAAGUUGAAAAAGAUGGUGUCCUUUCAUGCAGCAGAUGUGAUGUUGAAGAGCUGUGUCACCAAGUGGAGGAGUGAUGGGAGGAAGUGAGUGAAUUCUGCAGCAUCAGAGAGGAUGAGAGAGAGAGAGAGAGAAACAGGAUCUUCUCAGAGACUACACAGUUUCAGAGUCCUGAGUCCCAACUGUAGAGAACACAAAGAGGCAACAUACUUAUUAUUGCUUAUUACUACUUCCAGUGGAAAUGGUCAUCUAGGCACUUUGAAGAGUCCCUUUCAUUUAUUUGGGAGCACUUUGUCAGAGAAAUUGAGCUUGAGUUUUGAAGAGGUCUUAGAAUUUAAAAGCAUGAUAACAAGAAAUAAGACUUUUAACACAUCUUAAGAUCAAUACAUUCUAUUAGUGUUCAAA